rnacentral:rRNA from 1 species
AAAUCCCGAUAUUUCACUUACACAAAUAUCCGCCCGAGAACUACGAGCACAAACGCUUAAAACUCUAAGGACUUGGCGGUGCCCUAAACCCACCUAGAGGAGCCUGUUCUAUAAUCGAUAACCCACGAUACACCCGACCACUUCUUGCCAAAACAGCCUACAUACCGCCGUCGCCAGCCCACCUCCAAUGAGAGCACAACAGUGGGCCCAAUAGCCCACACCCGCUAACAAGACAGGUCAAGGUAUAGCCCAUGAAGUGGAAGAAAUGGGCUACAUUUUCUAAAAUAGAACAACCCCCAACGAAAGGAGACCUGAAACCUGUCUCCAGAAGGCGGAUUUAGCAGUAAAGGAAAACAAUCAAGUUCCCUUUAAACUGGUCCUAGGGCACG